UUCGAUGAUCGCGAAGACGGAGGAGGUGUGUGCGCUGCUUCCUCCAGUAUUGCCUUGUGGUUUGAGGGUGGGAGCUGACGGAACCAAUCAGAGGGACGAGGAGGGUGAUCAUUUGCCCCUGUAUGCCAACGAGGUCCGUCGCAUGUUGAUUUCGAUCUGGAACGCAUUGAUCCAUCGAAAAUCCAAAUGCAUAUUGUUUUGAAUCCGAGGCCUAUAAUGACGUGCGCGUACAUAAUAAUCUCUCGGUCCUUCGCGACCCGGCGACGCAACCGGGAAUCCAAAGACGCGGAGGAGGAGGAAUAGAGAGCGCGAUGGGUCUGCAGGUAGAUUUUGAAGAAUAUGCUGCAAAAGCUAAAACGUUACCUGUAAAUACUACUAAGAAGAGCAAAUUGUUCCUGUAUGGGCUUUACUACCAAGCGACUGUCGGACCAGUGAAUACUAGAAUGUUGACCUGGUAUAUUCAAUAUGAGGGAUAGAGCCAAAUGAGAAGCUUGGAAGGCUGUUGAAGGGGAGGAAGCCAAAGGAGGAGGCUAUGAGUGACUACCUCACCAAGGUUAAACAGCUGCUCGAGGCAGCUGCUACUGCUGCUUAUGCUACUUUGUCACGCCUUGCUCAAUGUAGUACCAUUGUUUCAUUCGAGUUAAGAUGCAUGCGGAUGUCAAGUUUUUAGGUCAGCAAAGCUAAGUGUGGGCAUGUUGAAUGAGCAUUACCUGCAGCCCAUAUAUUUAGUGAAGCUUUAUUGAUUCCCGUUUGUUGGUGAUGGUGUGUUCUUUGCGGAGCUUAGUGACGUCCUCACAAGAACCACUGAGCUGUGGACGGGUACUCCAGUGUUGAGGUCAGCAUCGGUGAUCAUUAUUAGAGCCGCCAGGACCCUGAACGUACUUGAUAUCGAUCUCCAAUCUAUGUUAAGCCUUGGUGGUACACCCGAUUUGGACUUCGUAUCAUAAUUGUGUAUGGUGAGAAGGGGAGAAGGAUAUUGGAGUUGACUUCUGUGGUCCAGUAAAGAUUCAACUUUUUGGAAAAUGGUGUGGAGCUCUACACCGAAGGUCAACAACAGAGGGCUUUGUGCAAUUGCUUGGGCUAUCUUUCUGGUACAAGCUUCUCGGAGGAGUGUCAUUCCUUCUUAACAUGGAGGAGAAGGGAGCAUAGGAGAGGAGAGCAAAGUGAGAGUGAAGCGCUUAUAUGUUUGUAAUGAUAGAUACGGCUGUUGGAUCGUUUCUUGAACAGAAUCCAAAUCUAAAUCCUGUGUUUCCUAAAGCCCCAAGAUUAAUUAAUUAAUUAAUUAAUUAGGUUUAUAUGUUUAAUUUGAUAUAUAUAUUUAUUUCGAAAUCAAGUUUUCCUAUUUCUCUCCUGUCUUAUUUUUCUCUAUCCUUCCGUCCAUAGUGUCUCCGAGAUUCUCUAUUCCUAACUCUCUAUUGAACUCAAGUUUGAAUUCGUGGCAUACUCUCUGAAUGAGGUGGAUUAUUUUGUGUGUAACAUGCAUAGAGACUCCAGUAAAUGCCAGUUCUUAGAUCAUGGCAUGAUUCUGUUCAACUCAAGCUUGAAAUGACAUGCAUAACUGAUCUUGGAAGAACAGCAAACAAAGAUAAUUUCUGAUGGUAACUGGGAUAAGUAGUUUAUGGUAGAAAAUUUUUCAAUGAAACUAUUCUGAUGACGGCAGCAAAAUGAUUGUUACAGUCAAAAUUUUGAUGAAGUCAUUAAGUCAUUGCAAUUGGAUUCUUGGUUUUUUCUUCAUUUAUAACGGUUGCCAAUGCCUGUGUGUUUUUGCUGCAACUUCAAGCAUUAUGAUUUUGUUGCUGCUGCAUGGUUGACUGCAGUAGGAAUUUGUCUCAUACACAUGUUGAAAGCAUCAAGAACAAUUUUCGUCAAACUGUGUUCUUAACUUUUUUUAUUGUUUGAAUCCAAACUCUCCUUUUCAAGUAUCUUGCCUUCUUGAUCACCUCUCUGGAUGCUGAUGAGCUUAAACUCUGCAAUAAGAAUAAUUUGGCUUGGCUAAGUUUAAAUGCUUGAGGAGAGGGAAAAACUCAAAAUAUCUUUCUUUUUCUUCUAUUUUGCUUUAUUUCUACAUCACUAGUGCCACAUGAUGAAGGAGAUGACUUUUUGUUCUUCCUAUUUGAUACUUCUGUCCCUGAAUUCUUUCUACAUCUCUAGUGCGGCAUGAUUACUUUAAUAGAGCUUGGUUUCCUCGCAAUGCUCAUAUAGAUACUUGCCUAUUGACAACUUCAACUAGAAAUGCUUGUCUGGUCGGUUGUACCUAAAUGCUUCGAAUUUUUUAUUGUACUAACCUUGUUUGUGCUGAAAUUUAGAUGGAUAAAUUUAUUGACUUUCUAAACAGUAAUAAAAACACAGAUAUACCUGGAGAAAUAUAUAUAUAUAUAUUCAAGUGCUUAAUGAUCCAUUUUAACUGACCUUUUGCUUUUAA